rfam:Oryza barthii chromosome 4, whole genome shotgun sequence.
AAUAAAUGCAGUUUUGCAUUGUUCAUGUUUAACGUUUGAUCGUUUGUUUUAUUUGAAAUUAUUUUAUGACUAAUAUUUUUAUUAUUAUUAGAUGAUAAAACAUAAUAGUAAUUUAUGUGUGACUAAUUUUUUAAAAUUUUUUCAUACACUUUUUAAAAUAAAACGGACGGUCAAUGUUGGACAUGGAUACUCAUGGCUGCACUUAUU